rnacentral:rRNA from 1 species
GGGUUGUAAACUUCUUUUAUAUUAGAAUAAAGUGCAGUAUGUAUACUGUUUUGUAUGUAUAAUAUGAAUAAGGAUCGGCUAACUCCGCGCCAGCAGCCGCGGUAAUACGGAGGAUCCGAGCGUUAUCCGGAUUUAUUGGGUUUAAAGGGAGCGUAGGUGGGCUGGUAAGUCAGUUGUGAAAGUUUGCGGCUCAACCGUAAAAUUGCAGUUGAUACUGUCAGUCUUGAGUACAGUAGAGGUGGGCGGAAUUCGUGGUGUAGCGGUGAAAUGCUUAGAUAUCACGAAGAACUCCGAUUGCGAAGGCAGCUCACUGGACUGCAACUGACACUGAUGCUCGAAAGUGUGGGUAUCAAACAGGAUUAGAUACCCUGGUAGUCCACACAGUAAA